AGUGAACGCUGGCGGUAGGCCUAACACAUGCAAGUCGAACGGCAGCACAGUAAGAGCUUGCUCUUACGGGUGGCGAGUGGCGGACGGGUGAGGAAUACAUCGGAAUCUACUUUUUCGUGGGGGAUAACGUAGGGAAACUUACGCUAAUACCGCAUACGACCUACGGGUGAAAGCAGGGGAUCUUCGGACCUUGCGCGAUUGAAUGAGCCGAUGUCGGAUUAGCUAGUUGGCGGGGUAACGGCCCACCAAGGCGACGAUCCGUAGCUGGUCUGAGAGGAUGAUCAGCCACACUGGAACUGAGACACGGUCCAGACGCCUACGGGAGGCAGCAGUGGGGAAUAUUGGACAAUGGGCGCAAGCCUGAUCCAGCCAUACCGCGUGGGUGAAGAAGGCCUUCGGGUUGUAAAGCCCUUUUGUUGGGAAAGAAAAGCAGCAGGUUAAUACCCCGCUGUUCUGACGGUACCCAAAGAAUAAGCACCGGCUAACUUCGUG
rnacentral:rRNA from 1 species